rnacentral:rRNA from 1 species
CUAUGCGCCUUGCCAGCCCGCUCAGUCAGAGUUUGAUCCUGGCUCAGGACGAACGCUGGCGGCGUGCCUAAUACAUGGCAAGUUGAGCGCUGAAGGUUGGUACUUGUACCAACUGGAUGAGCAGCGAACGGGUGAGUAACGCGUGGGGGAAUCUGCCUUUGAGCGGGGGACAACAUUUGGAAACGAAUGCUAAUACCGCAUAAAAACUUUAAACACAAGUUUUAAGUUUGAAAAGAUGCAAUUGCACCACUCAAAGAUGACCCCGCGUUGUAUUAGCUAGUUGGUGAGGUAAAGGCUCACCAAGGCGAUGAUACAUAGCCGACCUGAGAGGGUGAUCGGCCACAUUGGGACUGAGACACGGCCCAA